CUCACCACAUACAUAAGUUAAAGAUAAGGACUGUGCCAUGGUUUUGGCUCUGUUUACUUGUAAAAUGAUCACUCAGUGAGAAAGUUGGAAGCUCAUUCACAUCAGUAAAUUACCCUAAUACAAGUGUUGCAAACAUCAUUACCUGUCAUCUGUCAAAAAAUCAGCUUGGUCUCUUGGAAAGUUUUUUCCAAUCACCAAGGCAACCAUUGCAAACACGUUAGAAUAAACAUCACAUGCCUUUAUAUAAAUUUGGGACUUUAGUCACAAAUUUGGCACAAGAAAGCCAUUUAUGUCUUAAACUACUGAUGAAAUUGCUGAAAGGCUCUAUCUUUUUCUCUAGUCUCUAUGUUGUUGCUUGUCUCAAGGACCGGAAAUUGCCAAGGUAGGUUGGUGCUGAUCAUGUGUUCACUGUUUCCAAAACCGGAAAUUCAAUCUGAUUGGCCAACCGAACCCAGUCCUUGUGAAUAGCAGAGAACGUAUAGAGGUUCAACCCAUUCCGCACAGCAUUUGAAGCACGAUGACACCUGGCUUUCCUACUGAUAAGUAAGAGAAACAGCUGCCAACGUACAGAAUCUAAUGCGAGAUUUUCAGCUUCCUCCAAAAUUAAUCCAGAGAAUCUUAAAAAUGAAGAAAACGUCCAGUACGCUUCCUUAAGGGUAAAAAAUGCCAACAGAUCUAGAAGACAAAGAGAUGACACAGAGGAUGGAUCCGUAUACUCCAUUGUAAAGCGGUGAAGCUGGACAUUGCAGUAUGUACAAAUCAUAAAUGUUAUCUACUAGUGUGGUUACAAAAAUAUAAACUGACAAACCAAAACGGUUCAUUUAUUAAAAUUCUGAUCAUU